rnacentral:rRNA from 1 species
GGGGUACGGACUUCACUCCCAACCCCUGUGACAUACCUUACUGUUGCCUCGGCGGAUCAGCCCGCUCCCGGUAAAACGGGACGGCCCGCCAGAGGACCCCUAAACUCUGUUUCUAUAUGUAACUUCUGAGUAAAACCAUAAAUAAAUCAAAACUUUCAACAACGGAUCUCUUGGUUCUGGCAUCGAUGAAGAACGCAGCAAAAUGCGAUAAGUAAUGUGAAUUGCAGAAUUCAGUGAAUCAUCGAAUCUUUGAACGCACAUUGCGCCCGCCAGUAUUCUGGCGGGCAUGCCUGUUCGAGCGUCAUUUCAACCCUCAAGCCCUCGGGUUUGGUGUUGGGGAUCGGCGAGCCUUUCUGGCAAGCCGGCCCCGAAAUCUAGUGGCGGUCUCGCUGCAGCCUCCAUUGCGUAGUAGUAAAACCCUCGCAACUGGAACGCGGCGCGGCCAAGCCGUUAAACCCCCAACUUCUGAAUGUUGACCUCGGAUCAGGUAGGAAUACCCGCUGAACUUAAGCAUAUCAAAAAGGCGGAGAAAAAU